UCAGAGGGGCGAUACAGCAGUGUAUUCUGAAUCAAUGCUAAAAUGUAUAUGUUACUAAGUAGGAGUCAUUCUGAUCCUGAUUUUCUGGAAGUGUGAACAGGGUUCUGAUUCCAGUACAGACCUGGAGAUCAAACCUAGGAGAAAAAGGCAAAUGAAAUGUUUGACCUGGAGCAUGAGGUGACUUUUCACAUCUGUUGCUACAGUACAGGAAGCUAACAACUUUUGAUCAGAAAUACAGAAAGACAACAUAUUUGAACACUGGCAUGAAGGGUUUUUAUAACUGUCUCAGAAUGAAAAUCUCCAGCUAAAUGCCAGAUACAUGUAAGAUGAAUAUGUCCAGCAGGGAAAACAUAUUACAAUGAAACUUCAAAUGGAAAGUGACCACCUGGAAAUUACAGCUUGGACACCAAGUAGAAGAAAAGAAAAUCAAAAGAGGAUCCCUGACCUUUGCUCACUCAGAUUUAAAUGGAUGGCAUAAUUAAUCACCAGGCUGAUUAUUUAAAUUUUUCAUACAAGCGCAAUAGUUUUUAAUAAAAUGAAGUUUUCUUCUCUCAAAGAGCUUUUCUGGUGUGGUUGCUGCUGCUGUUUUAGGAUCUGAAUGAUCUUAAGCUGUUACUAAUUAUUCUUUUCUUUUGUUGGUUCUCCAUUUCUGUUGUGGGGGGAAGAGAUCAUUGCCCCCUCGUUAGCUGAAUUUGAACUGAUUGGCAGGUACCCAUCCUGUUGGUGUAUUUGUGUUUUGAACAAUAUGUUUUUCUAGGCAGGGACUCACUUUUGUACUGUACUUAUAUACUAACUUGUCUGUGCAGUGCCAUCCACUUGAAAUAGUCCAGAAAAAAUGAACUGGAUUUCAUAAGGCUUCGGGGCAAUCUCAAGUUUAUGCAAGAAUUGAGGCUGAAUGUGGCACCCCUGUGGAAACAAUCACAUAGCCACACCAAAAAGAUAUGGCAGGUAAUAUUCAGAAUGCUCCCAUACCAAAAGGGAUGCUGAGGUGCAGUGAAUGCAACUUGCCUGCAGUUUGGAUUACCUGCUUCCCAGAAGUCCCUUCCCUUCUCUUGCCUGUGAUGGGAAUGUAUAUCCCUUUGUGCCUCCCCUCCCCUGGGCCUCUAAGAAGGGACUCAAGAUUCUCUUGGCACCAGUGGCAUCUGGUGCUUCUUUUUCCUCAAAGUUUGGGGAGUUGGACUGUCUUCUUCCUCAUUUAAUUGAGUAGUGGAGGCACAGGAGUGAAAGCACAGGGAGGGUACACAUGAGUGGUGGGGUAGAUGCACGUGGGAAGCAUCAGGAGUUAGCAUCAUGUGUAUGAGGAGGUGAGAGAGUAGUAGGUAGAGCAGGAGUGGGUGAUGAGUGGAUAUUAAGUUCAGAAAGGCUGAUGUAGAGGACAGACAGGUUGAUUGGCUCGGAGAUUAUGUAUGCAGGGCACCUAAUGCCCUUCCUGGCAAUUCUUGCAUAUCCUACAAGCAUUUAUAGGACAUUUUGGGGUAGGCUAUUCUAGUAAAUGAAAGCAUAAAUAAGCUAAUAAUAAACCUAUUUGUUCCCUAUUUAAAAAUAAGAGGGAAAUCUCUAUUAUUUCACUGAGAAUGAAGCCAAGUCAAGGUCAGUCUCUCAAUGGUGCUGUCAGAGAGAAAGAUUAAGAGAAGGGGGACAGAGAAGAUUGCUACAGGUAUUAAAAUUACAUCCUGGAGCUUUUAAACACCACACUAUGUGAGUGACUGAAUGCUGUAUGCCCAGCUUGAAAGGAAAGCAGUGAGGGAUUGGAUACUGGGUAGUGCAAUGUGCUGUGGUUGUGUGAUCUUUUCAUUUCACAACGGGAAAGUAUAUGAUAACAAUGUCCCCUUUCUUUCAUCAAAAAAUUAGAUAUCAAAAAUAUUCCUUUCAGUACCUGUGACCCCUUGGUAUUUGCCAGUCUUCACUUUGCAGUGCAUCCCACUUCCUCAUCUCCAAAACACAGACAAGCUGUUUGUAUUUUAAACUGUGACAAGUGUCAUUGAAACAGAAGUGCCAAAAUAGAUACAUCAGCCUUUUCCACCUUGGAAAGUUGACGGACCGCUACUUAAAAUAGGUUCAAUUUAUCUGUCAGAACAUGAUAUAUAUUUGUAACAUUAUUUCUGAAAUUGUAACCUGAUAUUUUAUCACCUCUACCAGCCAGAUGACUCUGUCACAAAUUCAGCCUAUAUACUGGCAUGAUAGAAGAGGAAAGUGCUCAGAUUUUUAAAAAAAAUUAACUGUGACCUGAAUAUUGCCAUUUUUACUCUUGGAUUUUAAAGGGGAAAUAGGAUAAGUGGUAAACAUACAUACAGUAAAUUCUAAAGAAAAUAGUAGAUACUAAUGCAAGAUUUGACUGAACACUGUCUGUAGAAAUUACUAUUAAAAUCUCAAUAAAGAAUGAUGCUGUUGAUUGAC